UUGCAACAAUUUUAAAGAAAUGACAACCAUCCCGGCUAGUUGAUAGAUUUUGCGUCCUCACCCGUCCGUGGAAAGGUGCAGACCCAAAUAUCGUCAUCGCGAACUUCAAAGUUGUCUAUGUCGACACGGUCAGCGCGCUCUGACCGUCUCAGCAGAGGCAGGUGACCAACGCAGCAAAAAAGGCCCGGAUUGAGCAGCGGGAGAUGUUAGCGGCUCAACAUGAGCAGCUAGAAGAAGAGGAGGGAUGCCUCUAUGGACCAGGCAUUGCCGAUUACCGAUCAACAAAGAGGGGGCAGUGAUGUCAGCCGUUUACCUCCAGCGAUUUGAGGACUUGUUUUCGCGGAGCUGCAACGGCCAC